rnacentral:rRNA from 1 species
AUUAAACGCUGGCGGCAUGCCUUACACAUGCAAGUCGAACGGCAGCACGGGGGCAACCCUGGUGGCGAGUGGCGGACGGGUGAGUAAUGCAUCGGAACGUGCCCUGAAGUGGGGGAUAACGCAGCGAAAGCUACGCUAAUACCGCAUAUUCUGUGAGCAGGAAAGCAGGGGAUCGCAAGACCUUGCGCUUUGGGAGCGGCCGAUGUCGGAUUAGCUAGUUGGUGGGGUAAAGGCCUACCAAGGCGACGAUCCGUAGCGGGUCUGAGAGGAUGAUCCGCCACACUGGGACUGAGACACGGCCCAGACUCCUACGGGAGGCAGCAGUGGGGAAUUUUGGACAAUGGGCGGAAGCCUGAUCCAGCCAUGCCGCGUGAGUGAAGAAGGCC